rnacentral:lncRNA from 1 species
CCUCUGCAAAGGUAGGGAAAGUUUCGAAGUUAUUUUCCAUUGAAAUUGAAGUAUUUUUUUGUUUGCUUGAAGAGAUUUGCAUAAUACGCUAUGGAACAACCGUAAAAUGUGUCCAAUGCCGUCUGUUGCCCUCGUCCGUAUUGCUCCUGCUUUUGGUGGUUGCUGUGAGUCUUCGGAGGACGGAUCCCAUCCCUUGCCGAUGGCGGCAAUGUCCUGAGCCAGUCCUUGUCCCCGGUGUACGCGUGUGUGUGUGUGUAAUUUCAUUUCGUUUUCGUUUCAGUUUUUUUGCUCUGUUGCUUCCUACUUUUAUUGUUGAACUUUUACAGCUGCCGCUCUUUCGCCUUGCAUUCGCAGCUCCGCUCCUGCUACAUGCCAGGAAGGGUGGUUGCUGGGGUCGUCCGGCGUCUGCCUCACUGCAUUGCCUGCCACUGAAAGUUAAAUUUCCACCACACUCGCAUAUCGUGUGCGUCUGGCUUUUAUCCUUUUUUGGUCUGUCUGGUCGGGCUCCGAGUCUGGCCACCCCCAGGCCCAGAACCAGGAGCGUUAGGGAAAGUGUCUU